rnacentral:rRNA from 1 species
GAUGAACGCUGGCGGCGUGCCUAAUACAUGCAAGUCGAGCGAACGGACGAGAAGCUUGCUUCUCUGAUGUUAGCGGCGGACGGGUGAGUAACACGUGGAUAACCUACCUAUAAGACUGGGAUAACUUCGGGAAACCGGAGCUAAUACCGGAUAAUAUUUUGAACCGCAUGGUUCAAAAGUGGAAGACGGUCUUGCUGUCACUUAUAGAUGGAUCCGCGCUGCAUUAGCUAGUUGGUAAGGUAACGGCUUACCAAGGCAACGAUGCAUAGCCGACCUGAGAGGGUGAUCGGCCACACUGGAACUGAGACACGGUCCAGACUCCUACGGGAGGCAGCAGUAGGGAAUCUUCCGCAAUGGGUGAAAGCCUGACGGAGCAACGCCGCGUGAGUGAUGAAGGUCUUCGGAUCGUAAAACUCUGUUAUUAGGGAAGAACAUAUGUGUAAGUAACUGUGCACAUCUUGACGGUACCUAAUCAGAAAGCCACGGCUAACUACGUG